UACGUAGGGCGCAAGCGUUGUCCGGAAUUAUUGGGCGUAAAGAGCUCGUAGGCGGUCUGUCGCGUCUGCCGUGAAAACCCGAGGCUUAACCUCGUGGCUUGCGGUGGAUACGGGCAGACUAGAGGUAGGUAGGGGAGAAUGGAAUUCCCGGUGUAGCGGUGAAAUGCGCAGAUAUCGGGAGGAACACCGGUGGCGAAGGCGGGUCUCUGGGCCGAUAUUGACGCUGAGGAGCGAAAGCGUGGGGAGCGAACAGG
rnacentral:rRNA from 1 species